rnacentral:rRNA from 1 species
UAGUCAUACCUUUGCAUCAAAAAUUUACCCUUGCAUGUGUCAAAUUAAAAAAAUUAAUCUUGAAUCUGCAAAUGGCUCAUUAUAUCAUUUAUAGUUUACACGGUAAUCAAAACCUACACGGAUAACUGUGGCAAUUCUAAAGCUAAUACGUGCGUCAAGACUUUUCCCGCUUUGGGGGAGUGUUGUAUUUAUUAUUUGUAAAACCAACUCUGCGCAAGCAGGUUUGUGGUGAAUCAUAAUAAUUGCACCGAACCGCAUGUCUCACGACGGCGGUGAACCGUUCAAGUUUCUGCCCUAUUACCUUUCAAAGGUCGUGUAUUGAACACCCUUGGCUUUGAUGGUUGACGAAAAAUUAGGGUUCGAUUCCGGAGAGGGAGCCUUAAAACCGGCUCCUACAUCCAAGGAAGGCAGCAGGGGCAAAACGUACCUAAUCCUGAUUCAGGAAGGUCGUGACAAUGUAUAUUAAUGAGGUGCUUUUUAAGUACUUCAUUUGAAUUGAGUACA